rnacentral:rRNA from 1 species
UACGUAGGGUGCGAGCGUUGUCCGGAAUUAUUGGGCGUAAAGAGCUUGUAGGCGGUUUGUCGCGUCUGCUGUGAAAAUCCGGGGCUCAACCCCGGACUUGCAGUGGGUACGGGCAGACUGGAGUGUGGUAGGGGAGACUGGAAUUCCUGGUGUAGCGGUGGAAUGCGCAGAUAUCAGGAGGAACACCGAUGGCGAAGGCGGGUCUCUGGGCCACUACUGACGCUGAGAAGCGAAAGCAUGGGGAGCGAACAGG